rnacentral:rRNA from 1 species
ACUCCUACGGGAGGCAGCAGUGGGGAAUAUUGCACAAUGGAGGAAACUCUGAUGCAGCAACGCCGCGUGGAGGAUGACACUUUCGGAGCGUAAACUCCUUUAUAUAGGAAGAUAAUGACGGUACUAUAUGAAUAAGCACCGGCUAACUCCGUGCCAGCAGCCGCGGUAAUACGGAGGUGCAAGCGUUACUCGGAAUCACUGGGCGUAAAGAGCGUGUAGGCGGGUUAUUAAGUCAGAAGUGAAAUCCUAUGGCUCAACCAUAGAACUGCUUUUGAAACUGGUAACCUAGAGUAUGGGGAGAGGUAGAUGGAAUUUCUGGUGUAGGGUAAAAUCCGUAGAGAUCAGAAGGAAUACCGAUUGCGAAGGCGAUCUACUGGAACAUUACUGACGCUGAGACGCGAAAGCGUGGGGAGCAAACAGGAUUAGAUACCCUGGUAGACUGUCA